UCAGGACGAACGCUGGCGGCGUGCUUAACACAUGCAAGUCGAACGGUCUUUGCAGACAGAUUCCUUCGGGAUGAAGACUGUACAAGAUAGUGGCGGACGGGUGAGUAACGCGUGGGUAAUCUGCCUCUGAAUCGGGGAUAACUUACCGAAAGGUGAGCUAAUACCGGAUAAGCUCUUUGGAUCGCAUGGUCUAAAGAGGAAAGAUGGUUUACUAUCGAUCAGAGAUGAGCCCGCGUUCCAUUAGCUAGUUGGUGAGGUAACGGCUCACCAAGGCGACGAUGGAUAGUCGGCCUGAGAGGGUGAUCGGCCACACUGGGACUGAGACACGGCCCAGACUCCUACGGGAGGCAGCAGUGGGGAAUAUUCGGCAAUGGGGGCAACCCUGACCGAGCAACGCCGCGUGGGUGAAGAAGUUUUUCGGAACGUAAAGCCCUGUCAUGAGGGAAGAAUGAUCUGAUGUUUAAGAGAUGUCAGAAGUGACGGUACCUCAUAAGAAAGCUCCGGCUAACUACGUGCCAGCAGCCGCGGUAAUACGUAGGGAGCAAGCGUUGUCCGGAAUCAUUGGGCGUAAAGGGUGCGUAGGCGGUUUGUUAAGUCAAAUGUGAAAUACACUGGCUCAACCAGUGGGCUGCGUUUGAAACUGGCAAACUUGAGUGCAGGAGAGGAGAGUGGAAUUCCUGGUGUAGCGGUGAAAUGCGUAGAGAUCAGGAAGAACAUCGAUGGCGAAGGCAGCUCUCUGGCCUGCAACUGACGCUGAGGCACGAAAGCGUGGGGAGCAAACAGGAUUAGAUACCCUGGUAGUCCACGCCGUAAACGAUGGAUACUAGGUGUAGGAGGUUCGAUUCCUUUCUGUGCCGCAGUUAACGCAAUAAGUAUCCCGCCUGGGGAGUACGGUCGCAAGAUUGAAACUCAAAGGAAUUGACGGGGGCCCGCACAAGCGGUGGAGCAUGUGGUUUAAUUCGAUGCAACGCGAAGAACCUUACCAAGGCUUGACAUCCCAUGACUACCUAUGAAAAUAGGGUUGCCCUUCGGGGCCAUGGAGACAGGUGGUGCAUGGUUGUCGUCAGCUCGUGUCGUGAGAUGUUGGGUUAAGUCCCGCAACGAGCGCAACCCUUGUCCUUAGUUGCCAGCAUUAAGUUGGGGACUCUAAGGAGACUGCCGGUGACAAACCGGAGGAAGGUGGGGAUGACGUCAAAUCAUCAUGCCCUUUAUGCCUUGGGCUACACACGUGCUACAAUGUGUUAUACAGAGGGCGGCGAAGCCGUGAGGUGAAGCAAAUCCCUUAAAGUAACCCCCAGUUCGGAUUGUAGGCUGUAACUCGCCUACAUGAAGUUGGAAUCGCUAGUAAUCGCAGGUCAGCAUACUGCGGUGAAUACGUUCCCGGGCCUUGUACACACCGCCCGUCACACCACCCGAGUCUGAUGCACCAGAAGUCGCUGUCCUAACCAUUUGGAGGGAGGCGCCAAAGGUGUGUCCGGUAAGGGGGGUGAAGUCGU
rnacentral:rRNA from 1 species